rfam:Hordeum vulgare subsp. vulgare, WGS project CAJW01000000 data, contig: morex_contig_56472
CGAGUACUCCCUCCGUUCGAAAUUACUUGUUGCAAAAAUGAAUAAAAAUGGAUGUAUCUAGAANUAAAAUACAUCUAGAUACAUCCAUCUUUUCGACAAGUAAUUCCAGACGGAGGGAGUACCUA